ACAAAGUUGGCAGAAGUGUAUGUGAAUAAUUUAGGAUUAUUUUAUAAGAUGUAUAUCUUACUUUGUA
rnacentral:tRNA from 1 species